GACGAACGCUGGCGGCGUGCCUAAUACAUGCAAGUUGAGCGCUGAAGGUUGGUACUUGUACCAACUGGAUGAGCAGCGAACGGGUGAGUAACGCGUGGGGAAUCUGCCUUUGAGCGGGGGACAACAUUUGGAAACGAAUGCUAAUACCGCAUAAAAACUUUAAACACAAGGUUUAAGUUUGAAAGAUGCAAUUGCAUCACCCAAAGAUGAUCCCGCGUUGUAUUAGCUAGUUGGUGAGGUAAAGGCUCACCAAGGCGAUGAUACAUAGCCGACCUGAGAGGGUGAUCGGCCACAUUGGGACUGAGACACGGCCCAAACUCCUACGGGAGGCAGCAGUAGGGAAUCUUCGGCAAUGGACGAAAGUCUGACCGAGCAACGCCGCGUGAGUGAAGAAGGUUUUCGGAUCGUAAAACUCUGUUGGUAGAGAAGAACGCUGGUGAGAGUGGAAAGCUCAUCAAGUGACGGUAACUACCCAGAAAGGGACGGCUAACUACGUG
rnacentral:rRNA from 1 species